CCUACGGUGUGCAGCAGUGAGGAAUAUUGGUCAAUGGGCGAGACCCUGAACCAGCCAAGUCGCGUGAGUGAUGAAGUAUUUAUGUAUUUUAAGCUUCUUUUAUAUGGGAGUAAAUUGAGGAACGUGUUCCUUUUUGUAUGUACCAUUUGAAUAAGGCUCGGCUAACUCUGUGCCAGCAGCCGCGGUAAUACGGAGGUAGUGAGCGUGAUGCGGAUUUAUUGGGUGUAACGGGAGAGUAGAUGGUUAAUCAAGUCAGCAGUGAAAGUUUGUGGCUCAACCAUAAAAUUGCCUUUGAAACUGGGUGACUGGAGUGUAUUUGAGGUAAGCGGAAUGCGGGGUGUAGCGGUGAAAUGCAUAGAUAUCACGCAGAACUCCGACUGCGAAGGCAGCUUACUAAACUAUAACUGACACUGAGGCACGAAAGCGUGGGGAGCAAACAGGAUUAGAUACCCUUGUAGUC
rnacentral:rRNA from 1 species